rnacentral:rRNA from 1 species
UCCUACGGGAGGCAGCAGAGGGGAAUAUUGGACAAUGGGCGCAAGCCUGAUCCAGCCAUACCGCGUGGGUGAAGAAGGCCUUCGGGUUGUAAAGCCCUUUUGCUGGGAAAGAAAAGCGAUCGGUUAAUACCCGGUUGUUCUGACGGUACCCAAAGAAUAAGCACCGGCUAACUUCGUGCCAGCAGCCGCGGUAAUACGAAGGGUGCAAGCGUUACUCGGAAUUACUGGGCGUAAAGCGUGCGUAAGUGGUGGUUUAAGUCCGUUGUGAAAGCCCUGGGCUCAACCUGGGAAUUGCAGUGGAUACUGGGUCACUAGAGUGUGGUAGAGGAUAGUGGAAUUUCCGGUGUAGCAGUGAAAUGCGUAGAGAUCGGAAGGAACAUCUGUGGCGAAGGCAACUAUCUGGGCCAACACUGACACUGAGGCACGAAAGCGUGGGGAGCAACAGGAUUAGAUACCCUGGUAGUCCACGCCCUAAACGAUGCGAACUGGAUGUUGGGUUCAACUUGGAACCCAGUAUCGAAGCUAACGCGUUAAGUUCGCCGCCUGGGGAGUACGGUCGCAAGGUUAAAACUCAAAUGAAUUGACGGA